CCAGACUCCUACGGGAGGCAGCAGUAGGGACUCUUGCUCAAUGGGGGCCCCCCUGAAGCCGCCCCGCCGCGUGGCGGCUGAAGGUUUUAGGCUUGUAAACUCCUUUUGUUAGAGCAGCUUCUGACGGUCUCUCCCGAAUAAGCACCGGCUAACUCCGUGCCAGCAGCCGCGGUAAUACGGAGGGUGCAAGCGUUACUCGGAAUCACUGGGCGUAAAGAGUGCGUAGGCGGGGUAAUAAGUCAGAUGUGAAAUCCUGUAGCUUAACUACAGAACUGCAUUUGAAACUGUUACUCUGGAGUGUGGGAGAGGUAGGUGGAAUUCUUGGUGUAGGGGUAAAAUCCGUAGAGAUCAAGAGGAAUACUCAUUGCGAAGGCGACCUGCUGGAACAGUACUGACGCUGAUGCACGAAAGCGUGGGGAGCAAACAGGAUUAGAUACCCCUGUAUGC
rnacentral:rRNA from 1 species